rnacentral:rRNA from 1 species
AGCGGCGGAUGGGUGAGUAACACGUGGGGAACCUGCCCCUAAGUCUGGGAUACCAUUUGGAAACAGGUGCUAAUACCGGAUAAUAAAGCAGAUCGCAUGAUCAGCUUUUGAAAGGCGGCGUAAGCUGUCGCUAAGGGAUGGCCCCGCGGUGCAUCAGCUAGUUGGUAAGGUAACGGCUUACCAAGGCGACGAUGCAUAGCCGAGUUGAGAGACUGAUCGGCCACAUUGGGACUGAGACACGGCCCAAACUCCUACGGGAGGCAGCAGUAGGGAAUCUUCCACAAUGGACGCAAGUCUGAUGGAGCAACGCCGCGUGAGUGAAGAAGGUUUUCGGAUCGUAAAGCUCUGUUGUUGGUGAAGAAGGAUAGAGGUAGUAACUGGCCUUUAUUUGACGGUAAUCAACCAGAAAGUCACGGCUAACUACGUGCCAGCAGCCGCGGUAAUACGUAGGUGGCAAGCGUUGUCCGGAUUUAUUGGGCGUAAAGCGAGCGCAGGCGGAAAAAUAAGUCUAAUGUGAAAGCCCUCGGCUUAACCGAGGAACUGCAUCGGAAACUGUUUUUCUUGAGUGCAGAAGAGGAGAGUGGAACUCCAUGUGUAGCGGUGGAAUGCGUAGAUAUAUGGAAGAACACCAGUGGCGAAGGCGGCUCUCUGGUCUGCAACUGACGCUGAGGCUCGAAAGCAUGGGUAGCGAACAGGAUUAGAUACCCUGGUAGUCCAUGCCGUAAACGAUGAGUGCUAAGUGU